CGCGGAGCACAGUAAGGGGCGUGUGCUUUUGCGUGGCUGGUGCUUUGUUGUCUUCAGUGCUUCAGCCCGGGUUACUUUUGUUGGUAAACUUCGCCCGUGAAGGGCGUCGGAAGACCCACAUUCCGAGUGUAGUCGCAAGUGUGGGCCCGCCGAAAGGAGAUGGGUCUUCGACCUAAUUUAGCCUGGGUCGAGCCCUUCUCAUCCCACGCUCUGUGGGGACCUGUGAUCGCCUGUCCGAUCCUUAUGUCGGGUCUUACAUCCCGGAUGUCCGUUCUAGAGAAGUGGGAAUGCCGUGCUGCUCAGGGAAUGAAGAGUUUCCUUUCCUUUCCUCAAAGUCAGCCUAAUUGAUGAUUCCGAAGUAGCUGGGCGAGCCCUGGAGCGCUGGUGUUCUUGCCCUGGAUGGCCUAAAUUCCUCCUGGCUAGGGCUUUGUAUUUCAACAAGAGCUCCUUUUCAAUAAAGGCUUUGGGAGCCCACUCUGACAGUACAAA